rnacentral:rRNA from 1 species
GACGAACGCUGGCGGCGUGCUUAACACAUGCAAGUCGAACGAAGUGGCGAACGGGUGAGUAACGCGUAAUCAACCUGCCCUUCAGAGGGGGACAACAGUUGGAAACGACUGCUAAUAACGAAUACUGAAGGAGGGGAUUGCGUUGGAUUAGCUAGUUGGAGGGGUAAAGGCCCACCAAGGCGAUGAUCAGUAGCCGGUCUGAGAGGAUGAACGGCUACAUGUGGACUGAGACACGGCCCAUACUCCUACGGGAGGCAGCAGUGGGGAAUCUUCCGCAAUGGACGAAAGUCUGACGGAGCAACGCCGCGUGAGGGAUGACGGCCUUCGGGUUGUAAAGCUCUGUUAAUCGGGACGCGGUACCGGAAUAGAAAGCCACGGCUAACUACGUGCCAGCCGCCGCGGUAAUUC